GACGAACGCUGGCGGCGUGCUUAACACAUGCAAGUCGAACGGUAAGGCCCUUCGGGGUACACGAGUGGCGAACGGGUGAGUAACACGUGGGUGAUCUGCCCUGCACUUCGGGAUAAGCCUGGGAAACUGGGUCUAAUACCGGAUAGGACUCCUGGCUUCAUGGUUGGGGGUGGAAAGCUUUUGCGGUGUGGGAGGGGCCCGCGGCCUAUCAGCUGGUUGGUGGGGUAAUGGCCUACCAAGGCGACGACGGGUAGCCGGCCUGAGAGGGGGACCGGUCACACUGGGACUGCGGUACGGCCCAGGCUCCUACGGGAGGCAGCAGUGGGGAAUAUUGCACGAUGGGCGCAAGCCUGAUGCAGCGACGCCGCGUGAGGGAUGACGGCCUUCGGGUUGUAAACCUCUUUCAGCUAUGACGAAGCGCAAGUGACGGUAGUAGCAGAAGAAGGACCGGCCAACUACGUGCCAGCCGCCGCGGUAA
rnacentral:rRNA from 1 species